rnacentral:tRNA from 1 species
GGCCAGGUAGCUCAGUCGGUAUGAGCGUCCGCCUGAAAAGCGGAAAGGUCGGCGGUUCGAUCCCGCCCCUGGCCACCA